rnacentral:rRNA from 1 species
AGAUUGAACGCUGGCGGCAUGCCUUACACAUGCAAGUCGAACGGUAACAGGUUAAGCUGACGAGUGGCGAACGGGGGAGUAAUAUAUCGGAACGUGCCCAGUAGUGGGGGAUAGCCCGGCGAAAGCCGGAUUAAUACCGCAUACGACCUACGGGUGAAAGCGGGGGAUCGCAAGACCUCGCGCUAUUGGAGCGGCCGAUAUCAGAUUAGCUAGUUGGUGGGGUAAAAGCUCACCAAGGCGACGAUCUGUAGCUGGUCUGAGAGGACGACCAGCCACACUGGGACUGAGACACGGCCCAGACUCCUACGGGGGGCAGCAGUGAGGAAUUUUCGUCAAUGGGGGCAACCCUGAACGAGCAACGCCGCGUGCAGGAAGACACUUUUCGGAGCGUAAACUGCUUUUCUCGGGGACGAGUAAGGACGGUACCCGAGGAAUCAGCCCCGGCUAACUACGUGCCAGCAGCCGC